CCUACGAGUGGCAGCAGUGAGGAAUAUUGGUCAAUGGUCGGGAGACUGAACCAGCCAAGCCGCGUGAGGGAGGAAGGUACAGAGUAUCGUAAACCUCUUUUGUCAGGGAACAAAGGCGGGGACGUGUCCCCGGAUGAGUGUACCUGAAGAAAAAGCAUCAGCUAACUCCGUGACAGCAGCCGCGGUAAUACGGAGGAUGCGAGCGUAAUCCGGAUUUAUUGGGUUUAACGGGUGCGCAGGCGGUCUGUUAAGUCAGCGGUCAAAGACCGGGGCUCAACCCCGGCCCGCCGUUGAAACUGGCAGUCUCGAGUUGGAGAGAAGUAUGCGGAAUGCGUGGUGUAGCGGUGAAAUGCAUAGAUAUCGCGCAGAACUCCGAUUGCGAAGGCAGCAUGCCGGCUCCACACUGACGCUGAGGCACGAAAGCGUGGGUAUCGAACAGGAUUAGAUACCCGAGUAGUC
rnacentral:rRNA from 1 species